rnacentral:rRNA from 1 species
CCUACGGGCGGCUGCAGUGGGGAAUAUUGGGCAAUGGGCGAAAGCCUGACCCAGCAACGCCGCGUGAAGGAAGAAGGCCUUCGGGUUGUAAACUUCUUUUAUGGAGGACGAAGAAGUGACGGUACUCCAUGAAUAAGCCACGGCUAACUACGUGCCAGCAGCCGCGGUAAUACGUAGGUGGCAAGCGUUGUCCGGAUUUACUGGGUGUAAAGGGCGCGUAGGCGGGAUGGCAAGUCAGAUGUGAAAUCUGGGGGCUCAACCCUCAAACUGCAUUUGAAACUGUCGUUCUUGAGUAUCGGAGAGGCAAGUGGAAUUCCUAGUGUAGCGGUGAAAUGCGUAGAUAUUAGGAGGAACACCAGUGGCGAAGGCGGCUUGCUGGACGACAACUGACGCUGAGGCGCGAAAGCGUGGGGAGCAAACAGGAUUAGAUACCCCAGUAGUC